UUUUGAAAGAUUUCUUCGGAAUGAAUUUGAUUUAGUUUAGUGGCGGACGGGUGAGUAACGCGUGAGGAACCUGCCUUGAAGAGGGGGACAACAGUUGGAAACGACUGCUAAUACCGCAUGAAGCAUAGGGGUCGCAUGAUCUUUAUGCCAAAGAUUUAUCGCUUCAAGAUGGCCUCGCGUCUGAUUAGCUAGUUGGCGGGGUAACGGCCCACCAAGGCGACGAUCAGUAGCCGGACUGAGAGGUUAACCCCCACACUGGUACUGAGACACGGACCAGACUCC
rnacentral:rRNA from 1 species